rnacentral:rRNA from 1 species
UGGGGAAUAUUGGACAAUGGGGGAAACCCUGAUCCAGCAAUGCCGCGUGAGUGAAGAAGGCCUUAGGGUUGUAAAGCUCUUUCGCCCGCGAAGAUAAUGACGGUACCGCAAGAAUAAGCCCCGGCUAACUUCGUGCCAGCAGCCGCGGUAAUACGAAGGGGGCUAGCGUUGCUCGGAAUCACUGGGCGUAAAGGGUGCGUAGGCGGGUUUCUAAGUCAGAGGUGAAAGCCUGGAGCUCAACUCCAGAACUGCCUUUGAUACUGGAAGUCUUGAGUUCGGGAGAGGUGAGUGGAACUGCGAGUGUAGAGGUGAAAUUCGUAGAUAUUCGCAAGAACACCAGUGGCGAAGGCGGCUCACUGGCCCGAUACUGACGCUGAGGCACGAAAGCGUGGGGAGCAAACA